GAUGAACGCUGGCGGCGUGCUUAACACAUGCAAGUCGAACGGAAAGGCUCCUGCUUGCAGGGGUACUCGAGUGGCGAACGGGUGAGUAACAAGUGGGUGAUCUGCCCUGCACUUCGGGAUAAGCCUGGGAAACUGGGUCUAAUACCGGAUAGGACCACAUUUUGGAUGGUGUGGUGGAACGUUUUUCGGUGUGGGAUGAGCUCGCGGCCUAUCAGCUUGUUGGUGGGGUAAUGGCCUACCAAGGCGUCGACGGUAGCCGGCCUGAGAGGGUGUACGGCCACAUUGGGACUGAGAUACGGCCCGAACUCCUACGGGAGGCAGCAGUGGGGAAUAUUGCACAAUGGGCGCAAGCCUGAUGCAGCGACGCCGCGUGGGGGAUGACGGCCUUCGGGUGGUAAACUCCUUUCGCUAGGGACGAAGCGCAAGUGACGGUACCUGGAGAAGAAGCACCGGCUAACUACGUG
rnacentral:rRNA from 1 species